rnacentral:sRNA from 1 species
GGCUUUAAAACAUGUACUUAAAAUCCUUUAACAAAGGCAAACACUAUUAUUGUACCUGGAAUAUUUUGACAUUAAUAUGUACAUGUUGUGUAAAUUUUUUUUUAGUUUAUAUAGUAGUUAAUUUGCUAUAGUCUUUAAGUUUUUUUGCAUGUAAGUGAUGUACAUAUUUCAGUCUUUAAGUAGUCAGUGGAUCUGCAAAUCAUUUGUGUAGAUUUCAUUGUGACUUCUCUUUCUUGGGUUCAUGUUCAUUUUGGUUUGUCACAUCUUUGAUGUACAUAAACUGCAGUAAUAUAUUCAAAAACGCAAAUCACAGUUACCAUUCAUUCCAAAAUUUACUUUAUACCAUUUUAUCAAAAUGACACCCGUAAUCGUUAUUAAAUUUUGUUAACGUACGAAACUUAAUACAGUAUGCCUAUUCAUUUUCUAUGCAUUUCAAUUAAAAACUGUGUCAAACUAC